GACGAACGCUGGCGGCGUGCUUAACACAUGCAAGUCGAACGGAAAGGCCCUGCUUUUGUGGGGUGCUCGAGUGGCGAACGGGUGAGUAACACGUGAGUAACCUGCCCUUGACUUUGGGAUAACUUCAGGAAACUGGGGCUAAUACCGGAUAGGAGCGCCUGCUGCAUGGUGGGGGUUGGAAAGUUUCGGCGGUUGGGGAUGGACUCGCGGCUUAUCAGCUUGUUGGUGGGGUAGUGGCUUACCAAGGCUUUGACGGGUAGCCGGCCUGAGAGGGUGACCGGCCACAUUGGGACUGAGAUACGGCCCAGACUCCUACGGGAGGCAGCAGUGGGGAAUAUUGCACAAUGGGCGGAAGCCUGAUGCAGCAACGCCGCGUGCGGGAUGACGGCCUUCGGGUUGUAAACCGCUUUCGCCUGUGACGAAGCGUGAGUGACGGUAAUGGGUAAAGAAGCACCGGCUAACUACGUG
rnacentral:rRNA from 1 species